rnacentral:tRNA from 1 species
GCCGCUGUGGUGGAAUUGGUAGACACGCGGGACUCAAAAUCCCGUGAGGGCAACCUCAUGUCGGUUCGAGCCCGACCAGCGGUACCA